rnacentral:rRNA from 1 species
GGGGAAUAUUGCACAAUGGGCGAAAGCCUGAUGCAGCAACGCCGCGUGAGUGAUGAAGGUCUUCGGAUUGUAAAGCUCUGUCUUUUGGGACGAUAAUGACGGUACCAAAGGAGGAAGCCACGGCUAACUACGUGCCAGCAGCCGCGGUAAUACGUAGGUGGCGAGCGUUGUCCGGAUUUACUGGGUGAAAGGGUGCGUAGGCGGAUGUUUAAGUGAGAUGUGAAAUACCCGGGCUUAACUUGGGUGCUGCAUUUCAAACUGGAUAUCUAGAGUGCAGGAGAGGAGAAUGGAAUUCCUAGUGUAGCGGUGAAAUGCGUAGAGAUUAGGAAGAACACCAGUGGCGAAGGCGAUUCUCUGGACUGUAACUGACGCUGAGGCACGAAAGCGUGGGUAGCAAACAGGAUUAGAUACCCUGGUAGUCCACGCCGUAAACGAUGAGUACUAGGUGUAGGAGGUAUCGACCCCUUCUGUGCCGCAGUAAACAC